GAACAAACAAAUUCAUCAGAACAAAAUUGGAACUAACCGAAUGAAUUACAAUGUUUCAAAUGGAUUGUUGCUCAAUCUAUUCCUACCACAAAGAUAAGGGACCAUGCCAUGGAGCAAAUGAAUUCUUCACCAUGAAUUGAAUUUAUGGAAGUGAUUUCUUCAGCAUGAAUUGAAUUUAUGGAAGCAAUUCAUAAUUUCUUCACCAUGAAUUGAAUUCAUGGAAGCAAUCACCAAUUUUGAUGAACUCAUUCCAAUCAAAGAAAACACCGUGUUGGUCACAAAGACAGCGUGUAAUCACUUGGAAUUGGAUUUGUAAGUACUUAAGUUCGCGAACGAUGUUGGUCACGAAGAAAGCGUGUAAUCACUUGGAACUGGUAAUACAAGAAUUAUAUCGAACGAUGUUGCUACAGCUGCAGAAUUUUCUCUUUUCAACAGUCCUUAUUUUUCGGUUUUUACUAACCGAAUAAAUUGGAACACAAAAUUGGGUUGUGGAGAUCUUGUCGGAGUUUCCGUCGCCGGAGCGUUCUCGUUGUGCUUUUGUAGGGAUGUGGUGGUGGUUGAGAU
rnacentral:lncRNA from 1 species